rnacentral:lncRNA from 1 species
GUUUCUUAGUGACACCAGCUAUGAUACAAGCUCAUGGAUUGAGAGGGUUCUUAUAAUAGGAGCAUCUUCUGGACCAAAGCAAGCAACCGUCAAAAGUGCAUCUGUAAACGGAAACGUGGAAGUUAUGUACAAUAGUGGUACUCAAGUGUUGAUGAUUCGCAAACCAGCAGUUAAAGUAACGGAAGAAUGGUCAAUAAUUCUUCAUUAACUGAUACUAGAUCAACUUUAGACAAUAAAUUGGGCACAGCUACAGGAACACUUUACCUCGAUGACGGUGAUAGUUUUAAAUACCAAAAAGGACAAUGGCUGUAUAUGAAAUUCGAGUUCAAAGAUAACACAGCACAACAAAUUUUGGGUUUUGGUUUUUCCUUCGAACCAAACCAAUUUUUUUCGAUUCCUAGGUGCUAAAGAAGCCCGAAAAUGGCCAUAUUAACUUCAGGAAAAUUUGCUGGUGCUCAGGGCGCCGCCAUUUUGAAUUUAACAAAAUUGAGAAAACUCACGAUCAGUUUUUUGGAAAUAUCUCCUUAACGGUUGAUAUUACGAAAAAACAAAAAAAAAUCAGCAGAAAGUACAUAAAAUUUCUUACUGAAAUCACCCUCCUUUUUCUUUCCUAGCUUAAUUUUUUGGUCGUUAAAUUAACGUUUUUGUCACAAAUUAGCUUUAAAAAGGCGCAUUUUCGCUGAUUUUUGGAGAAACUUUGGUUCAUAUCUCCAGCCACGAUUAUCUGAGAAAAAAACUGUUAAGCUCAUUGAAAAGAGCGUAAAAUUUACUUCUAAAAACGUAUGUCAAAAGUUUGAAAGCUUGGUUUAACCCUGUGAAACAGCAGUUUAUUAGCUCCGCCCUUAAAAUGUGAUUUUUUCGACCAUUUCCCUUAGAAUCAAGAAAAAAAGAGAAAAAAAUCCUAAAAACAAGACCCGAACUGUUUAAAAAGGUGGCAAAAUAGUGCUGGGUCCACACUAUUUUGAAAACAAAACCAAAAAUUUCCAAAAUUUUGAGCUGUAAUAAGUUCCAGUACGAAACUUGCCGUCUUGCAGGUGCGACCUAGGUGUCAGAUGAGCAAACGAAGCGAUUGCCUUAGGCGCUGAUGAGAGAGGGGCGCCGAACAGUCGAAAGGGAAAAAAGGACGGGGGGAAAUGAGAAAGAGAAAAAAUUUGGCUCUUAAAAUUCAAAAUUUUCUGUAGAGGCCCUCCUUCCCCGCAACCUUCUCUCGGGGGGUUAGGGGCGCCGACAACAUCCUUGCCUAAAAGUUUUCGCCACGGUCCUGCAGGUGCAGAAGGAAACUUUCAGUUCGAUGCCAACUUGGAUUUUGCGGGAUGUUAAGUUGGGCUCACUGACAAGUGUGAUCUACUGACUAGGUCUAUAAAAAGACCCAAAAUUAUAGAUCUCUUGCCGUGACCUCAACUGAAUAUUCUAUUGCUAAUUGCCUGAGCUGAACGUUCUUUCCCUUCAGUAAUGUACUGCCGUACUGGUUACACAUUAGAGCUCAAAAAUUUUGACUCCAAUUGAAAAUUUUGGAACUUUUUAGUUUUGUUUUCAAAAUAGUGUGGACCCAGCACUAUUUUGCCACCUUUUUAAACAGUUCGGGUCACGUUUUAGGGUUUUUUUCUCUUUUUUUCUUGAUUCUAAGGAAAAUGGUCGAAAAAAUCACAUUUUAAGGGCGGAGCUAAUAAACUGCUGUUUCACAGGAUUAAACCAAGCUUUCAAACUUUUGACAUACGUUUUUAGAAGUAAAUUUUACACUCUUUUCAAUGAGCUUAACAGUUUUUUUCUCAGAUAAUCGUGGCUGGAGAUAUGAACCAAAGUUUCUCCAAAAAUCAGCGAAAAUGCGCCUUUUUAAAGCUUUUGUGACGAAAACGUUAAUUUAACAACCACAAAAUUAAGCUAGGAAAGAAAAAAGAGGGUGAUUUCAGUAGGAAAUUUUAGGUACUUUCUGCUGGUUUUUUGUUUUUUUCGUAAAAUCAACCGUUGAGGAGAUAUUUCCAAAAAACUGAUCGUGGGUUUUCUCAAUUUUGUUAAAUUCAAAAUGGCGGCGCCCUGAGCACCAGCAAAUUUUCCUGAAGUUAAUAUGGCCAUUUUCGGGCUUCUUUAGCACCUAGGAAUCGAAAAAAAUUGGUUUGGUUCAAAGGACAAACCCCAUGUUGACCAGUGUAAUGUGUUGAGCUCUUCGUAAGUUUCUUUACCACAUUUUAAACUGACAAUAUCAUCUCACCAUCAGGCAGGAUAUAUAGUGAUUGUAUAGGAUUAAUGUAUCUGAUCAGUUGUCACUUUCCUUCGGUGGGUUAACAAUUUUUGCUGCCAUCCUGAUAAAUCUAACUGUACAAGCUAAGUAGUAAUGUUUUUCAAGAUUUAGACUAUAAUCAGAUAUCUACUAACUGCAGUUGAGAUUUAAAUAAUGGCAGUAUGAGGCACAAUAGGAGAUGGAAAAGAUUCAAAGGUGGGCCAAUGGGUAGUGCCUUAUUUGCAUGCUAUCAAAACAUUCAACAAUUUUCGGUUUCCAAAGGCAGCUACACAAAACUAAAUGAUUCUUCCAAAUUUCAUCACUACUAACCUAUUAUUUAAGGUCGUGUCUGUUCUCUUCCCCAGGUAAAAAAGAUAAAACUUAUUUUUAUGUCAAAAUAACUUUGCAUUCAUCUCUAGCUUCACUUACGGUUCAAUAAUCGAUAAGGACUUGGUUUUAAAACAAUCUGAACGGAUCGUUAAAAAGUUGAAGAUCGUUAAAUCGUCUGAUAAAAGUUAUAGAGACUCUCAUGCAGGGGCUGACUUUUUUCAGAAGCCCACCGUGAUCUGUAAUCAACUCGUUUUCUCUGCCAUCUGUUGAUAGGCAUCUCUCUUUAUCUAUCUGUUUCUGUGAAUGUUUUCUUGCUGUUUUGAGGUCAUGAAUUCCUCACCCUAUCUAAUUCUUAAUCAUGAAAGGUGAUUUUCUCCUUAAUUGGUUUUGGCACCUUUUGAUUUUUAGCCAUGAGCAUUUAUCCUUCGUUUAUAAAUUUAGUGUACUAUUAGUAACUAUUUAAAUUUUUAUGUUAGGAUGUACGAAUAAAAAAGGUAUAUACGAUUUAGAUCACAAUGUAAACAUUAAGCGCUCCUUCAGUGAGUUCACAAAGAGAAUUUUAACAUCAAAUCCUUAAUUAUAAAAACUCCCAAAGAACCCAUGUUAUUUGCAGGACUGGAGGUUAGAGUGAAGGAGCCCUUACCCGCCCCCGUCUGUUGAAUGACUUCUCCAUGAUGGGUUUGGUUUAUCAUAGGUCACCACCAAUCUACAGUCUUUGUAUUGUUGCCCAUCUUUUAGGGCCUAAAUAUUUUUGAAACACUUGUCGUGUGUUACGCAAAGUUUUCUUCCAAAUUCGUCCUGAGACAGUUUUUCAUCUAUCCUUUUCUUUUUCAUAUCCUAUGGAUGAUUAACAAGUGCCCUUCAAUACAUGUUAAUUAUUGAUGUAAAAAUUGAGUUUUCGAUUGUUAGUUCCAAAAACUGCCACCACCAGAGUGCUAAAAGCUUACUGUGUGACUUGUUGAUGCUCUGUAAUUUGAUAAGUUUAUUAAUUUUUGUCAUUACAGCAACAGUGUGCUGUUGAUGUCAUAGAUUAAUGAGACAAAACAGUCACUAGGACUUAAGGCUUUCUUGAUCGAUUAACUUUUCACAAGCUUAUCAAUUUGAAAGCACGUAGGCUGUUGAUUAUUAAGAGCUAAAAAAAUGAAG